CCUACGUGGAGCUGCAGUGGGGAAUAUUGGACAAUGGGCGAAAGCCUGAUCCAGCCAUGCCGCGUGUGUGAAGAAGGCCUUCGGGUUGUAAAGCACUUUCAGUGGGGAAGAAAGCCUUGGGGCUAAUACCCUCGAGGAAGGACAUCACCCACAGAAGAAGCACCGGCUAACUCCGUGCCAGCAGCCGCGGUAAUACGGAGGGUGCGAGCGUUAAUCGGAAUUACUGGGCGUAAAGCGCGCGUAGGCGGUCUGAUAAGCCGGUUGUGAAAGCCCCGGGCUCAACCUGGGAACGGCAUCCGGAACUGUCAGGCUAGAGUGCAGGAGAGGAAGGUAGAAUUCCCGGUGUAGCGGUGAAAUGCGUAGAGAUCGGGAGGAAUACCAGUGGCGAAGGCGGCCUUCUGGACUGACACUGACGCUGAGGUGCGAAAGCGUGGGUAGCAAACAGGAUUAGAUACCCCUGUAGUC
rnacentral:rRNA from 1 species